UAGCGUAGGGGGCUAGCGUUGUCCGGAAUCAUUGGGCGUAAAGCGCGUGUAGGCGGUCCGGUAAGUCCGCUGUGAAAGUCGGGGGCUCAACCCUCGGAUGCCGGUGGAUACUGUCGGGCUUGAGUACGGAAGAGGCGAGUGGAAUUCCUGGUGUAGCGGUGAAAUGCGCAGAUAUCAGGAGGAACACCAAUAGCGAAGGCAGCUCGCUGGGACGUUACUGACACUGAGGCGCGAAAGCGUGGGGAGCGAACAGG
rnacentral:rRNA from 1 species